ACACGUGAUCAGAGUUUGAUCCUGGCUCAGGAUGAACGCUAGCGACAGGCCUAACACAUGCAAGUCGAGGGGCAGCACGAAUCAAGCUUGCUUGAUUUGGUGGCGACCGGCGCACGGGUGCGUAACAGGUGUGCAAUCUGUCCAUAAUCGGGGAAUAGCCCAGCGAAAGUUGGAUUAAUGCUCCAUGUGAGCAGGGGAGGCAUCUCCCUUGUUUGAAACGCGAGGAUUAUGGGUGAGCACGCUUCUGAUUAGGUAGUUGGUGAGGUAACGGCUCACCAAGCCGACGAUCAGUAGGGGUUCUGAGAGGAAGGUCCCCCACAUUGGAACUGAGACACGGUCCAA
rnacentral:rRNA from 1 species